rnacentral:rRNA from 1 species
UACGUAGGGGGCGAGCGUUGUCCGGAUUUAUUGGGCGUAAAGAGCUCGUAGGCGGUUUGGUAAGUCGGGUGUGAAAUCUCCACGCUCAACGUGGAGGGGCCACUCGAUACUGCCAUGACUCGAGUCCGGUAGAGGAGUGUGGAAUUCCCGGUGUAGCGGUGGAAUGCGCAGAUAUCAGGAGGAACACCGGUGGCGAAGGCGGGUCUCUGGGCUGUAACUGACGCUGAGGAGCGAAAGCGUGGGGAGCGAACAGG